rfam:Gossypium hirsutum cultivar TM-1 unplaced genomic scaffold scaffold968.1, whole genome shotgun sequence
CCCAGGGAAGCGUUUUGUCUACGUCAGCAGAAAUCGCGUCCUUGAGGGUGCGCUUUGCUGACAUGGACAAAACGCUUCCCCGGGG